UACAGAGGUCCCAAGCGUUGUUCGGAUUUAUUGGGCGUAAAGAGCGUGUAGGCGGCCAUGUAGGUCCGGUGUGAAAACUCGAGGCUUAACCUCGAGAUGUCAUCGGAAACCAUUUGGCUAGAGUCCGGAAGAGGAGAGUGGAAUUCCUGGUGUAGCGGUGAAAUGCGCAGAUAUCAGGAAGAACACCAAUGGCGAAAGCAGCUCUCUGGGACGGUACUGACGCUGAGACGCGAAAGCGUGGGGAGCGAACAGG
rnacentral:rRNA from 1 species